AUUGAACGCUGGCGGCAGGCCUAACACAUGCAAGUCGAGCGGAAACGAGUUAUCUGAACCUUCGGGGAACGAUAACGGCGUCGAGCGGCGGACGGGUGAGUAAUGCCUAGGAAAUUGCCCUGAUGUGGGGGAUAACCAUUGGAAACGAUGGCUAAUACCGCAUGAUGCCUACGGGCCAAAGAGGGGGACCUUCGGGCCUCUCGCGUCAGGAUAUGCCUAGGUGGGAUUAGCUAGUUGGUGAGGUAAGGGCUCACCAAGGCGACGAUCCCUAGCUGGUCUGAGAGGAUGAUCAGCCGCACUGGAACUGAGACACGGUCCAGACUCCUACGGGAGGCAGCAGUGGGGAAUAUUGCACAAUGGGCGCAAGCCUGAUGCAGCCAUGCCGCGUGUAUGAAGAAGGCCUUCGGGUUGUAAAGUACUUUCAGUCGUGAGGAAGGCGGCGUCGUUAAUAGCGGCGUUGUUUGACGUUAGCGACAGAAGAAGCACCGGCUAACUCCGUGCCAGCAGCCGCGGUAAUACGGAGGGUGCGAGCGUUAAUCGGAAUUACUGGGCGUAAAGCGCAUGCAGGUGGUUUGUUAAGUCAGAUGUGAAAGCCCGGGGCUCAACCUCGGAAUAGCAUUUGAAACUGGCAGACUAGAGUACUGUAGAGGGGGGUAGAAUUUCAGGUGUAGCGGUGAAAUGCGUAGAGAUCUGAAGGAAUACCGGUGGCGAAGGCGGCCCCCUGGACAGAUACUGACACUCAGAUGCGAAAGCGUGGGGAGCAAACAGG
rnacentral:rRNA from 1 species